UAACGCUAGCGGCGUGUCUUAGCCAUGCAAGUCGUACGGGCUUAUAGCAAUAUAAGUCAGUGGCAAACGGGUGAGUAACACGUGAGUAAUCUACCCUUAGGAUUCGGAUAACAGGGGGAAACUUCUGCUAAUACGAAAUAAUAUCCUUCUGACGAUGUCGGGAGGAUCAAAGCGGGGGACCGCAAGGCCUCGCACCUAAGGAUGAGCUCGCGGCCCAUUAGCUUGUUGGUAGGGUAAUGGCCUACCAAGGCGACGAUGGGUAGCCGGCCUGAGAGGGUGUCCGGCCACAUUGGAACUGAGACACGGUCCAGACUCCUACGGGAGGCAGCAGGCUAGAAAUUUGGGCAAUGGGCGAAAGCCUGACCCAGUGACGCCGCGUGAAUGAUGAAGGCCUUCGGGUUGUAAAGUUCUUUAGUCAGGGACGAUGGAGUAUAAUGCUAAUAUCAUUAUAUUCUGACGUUGUACCUGAAGAAUAAGCUCCGGCUAACUCCGUGCCAGCAGCCGCGGUAAUACGGAGGGAGCAAGCGUUGUCCGGAAUCACUGGGCGUAAAGGGAGUGUAGGUGGUAUGGAAAGUUGGAUGUGAAAUCUUGCGGCUCAACCGUAAAAUUGCAUUCAAUACUACCAUUCUAGAGUGCAGGAGAGGAGAGCGGAACUCCUAGUGUAGCGGUGGAAUGCGUAGA
rnacentral:rRNA from 1 species